CCACAAAUAAGUUUGGUGAUGAGUAAAAGAAUUACAGAUGAUGUGGCAGUUUAUACUGGGAGCUGGUAGUGAUGUUACUGGCUUGAACUGGGUGGAGGACGCACUAAUAUGGAGAUGGAUCCAGGCCCUGGAUGACUGCUGGACACACAUGACCCACACUAGGCUGCCUUCAUCCAUCCUUUCCUCCUUCACUGAGACUCAGAGUCAGCAUCUGAUCAGCAGGAGGAGGAGAGUCUGACGGAGCAGCA